AUACGUAGGGGGCAAGCGUUGUCCGGAAUGAUUGGGCGUAAAGGGCGCGUAGGCGGCCCGGUAAGUCUGGAGUGAAAGUCCUGUUUUUAAGAUGGGAAUUGCUUUGGAUACUGUCGGGCUUGAGUGCAGGAGAGGAAAGUGGAAUUCCCAGUGUAGCGGUGAAAUGCGUAGAUAUUGGGAGGAACACCAGUGGCGAAGGCGACUUACUGGACUGUAACUGACGCUGAGGCGCGAAAGUGUGGGGAGCAAACAGGAUUAGAUACCCUGGUAGUCCACACUGUAAACGAUGAAUGCUAGGUGUAGGGGGUAUCGACCCCUUCUGUGCCGCAGUCAACGCAAUAAGCAUUCCGCCUGGGGAGUACGGCCGCAAGGUUGAAACUCAAAGGAAUUGACGGGG
rnacentral:rRNA from 1 species